GACGUAGGGGGCAAGCGUUGUUCGGAAUUACUGGGCGUAAAGCGCACGUAGGCGGCUCUUUAAGUCGGAGGUGAAAUCCUGGAGCUCAACUCCAGAACUGCCUUCGAUACUGAAGAGCUCGAGUCCGGGAGAGGUGAGUGGAACUGCGAGUGUAGAGGUGAAAUUCGUAGAUAUUCGCAAGAACACCAGUGGCGAAGGCGGCUCACUGGCCCGGUACUGACGCUGAGGUGCGAAAGCGUGGGGAGCAAACAGG
rnacentral:rRNA from 1 species